GCGCACGCUGGCGGCAGGCCUCACACAUGCCAGUCGCACGAACCUUUCGGGGUUAGUGGCGGACGGGUGAGUAACACGUGGGAACGUGCCUUUAGGUUCGGAAUAACUCAGGGAAACUUGUGCUAAUACCGAAUGUGCCCUUCGGGGGAAAGAUUUAUCUCCUUUAGAGCGGCCCGCGUCUGAUUAGCUAGUUGGUUGAGGUAAUGGCUCACCAAGGCGACGAUCAGUAGCUGGUCUGAGAGGAUGAUCAGCCACAUUGGGACUGAGACACGGCCCAAACUCCUACGGGAGGCAGCAGUGGGGAAUCUUGCGCAAUGGGCGAAAGCCUGACGCAGCCAUGCCGCGUGAAUGAUGAAGGUCUUAGGAUUGUAAAAUUCUUUCACCGGGGACGAUAAUGACGGUACCCGGAGAAGAAGCCCCGGCUAACUUCGUG
rnacentral:rRNA from 1 species